UACAGAGGGUGCGAGCGUUAAUCGGAAUUACUGGGCGUAAAGCGUGCGCAGGCGGUGAUGUAAGACCGAUGUGAAAUCCCCGGGCUUAACCUGGGAACUGCAUUGGUGACUGCAUCGCUAGAGUAUGGCAGAGGGGGGUGGAAUUCCACGUGUAGCAGUGAAAUGCGUAGAGAUGUGGAGGAACACCGAUGGCGAAGGCAGCCCCCUGGGCCAAUACUGACGCUCAUGCACGAAAGCGU
rnacentral:rRNA from 1 species